GGAUGCUUAACCGACUGAGCCACCCAGGUGCCCACCUCCUGUUCAUUUUUUAAUGACUUCAAAAAUUAAGGCAUAAAGCGUAUGGUUAUGUACAAUUCGAUGAAUUUUUAUAUCUGUAUACAUCACUGACGUUAUUCUAGAACAUCUCCAGCACCUUUUUCCCAUCCAUACCUAGCCUGCUCCCAGGUUACCACUAUUCUGAUCUUUAUCCGCACAGGUUAUUUUGCCUGUUUUUGAACUUGAUUUAUAGAUGGAAUCCUAUAGGUAUUUUCUUAUUUCUUUUGCUCAAAAUUAUGUCUGUGUAACUCAUGCAUACCGUUGUGUGAGUAGCAAUUGUUCAUUAUUUUGUAAUUGCUCUGCAGUUUUCAUUUUGCGAAUACACCAUAAUUUACUUACCCAUUCUUCUAGUGGUGGCCCAGAUGAUUCUCUAAACAGGCUAAGUAAAAGCAAUUUUCCCCAUUGCCCUCUAUGUAUUUGCCCUGUCUGUAAACCCCUUCUCUGAUCCCUGGUGCCCUGCAGGUCACUUUACGCCCUCUUUUUUCCCCCAACGACAACAAAAAAUAUUUGCUUUAUUAGACUGAAGAAAACCUCAAGGCUUGAACUUGAGCCCUGACCUCUCACCAAAGCUCAGAUCUACCUGUCUAUCUAAGCCCUGGCCAUUGUGUCAAACUCAGUAUAGCCAAAAUCAGAAUCCUCACUUCUGCACCCAAAUCCCUUCUCUGCCUGACUUCCUGACAGGGGUCCUUGUCCUUGCUCAGUGUCCUGGCACCCGGGGCACAGGAGGAUCUCUAGACAAGGGAUGGACCUUUUCUCCCACCAGGGUUGUCUUCAACCCUUCCAUCUGCCUGUCUGCCUGGCACCCUGUCUCGACUUCCCAGGGGGAAAUCUCACAUGCCGUAGAGCUCAGAACCCCUGCCUGAGAAGUCAUGUCUGUGGCUUAUUUUCCCAAAGCUCUUUUGGCGGUUUUAGGAUUUCUGAGAACGUGGGCAAAGACCCUAUGACAGGCGGGCAAUGGAUUCUUUCCUCUUUACCCUGCUCUCGAUCAUUCCCUCCAUGAUAUAUCUUUGAUGGCUCUCAGGACCUUCUCUGAGAGCUAACGCUGAGAGAAGAGUGUGGGCUUCUUCGGGGCAGGGACUCCAGCAUUCAUUUGUUACCUACCACCCCAGCCAGGUGACAGGUGUGUGGAUGUGUGGCUAGCGUUCCCUGUUUCUGACAUUGGUGCCACUUAGUCAUUCAAGUCUUAACACUUUGUCUCUCUCUCUCCCUCCCAUAGCAAAUGAGCUACCAAUUCCCAAAAGCAAUCUUUCUAACAUUUCCAAUGUCCAUUCUAGAAUCCUCCAAUUCCCAUACAUAUUCUAACCCAGGCUCUUAGCAUCUGGAUUCUAAACCACUUACAGUAGCUUCUGACCCACUAGUUUCUUCCAACCUGGAAUGCGUUGUGUGCAUACCAUUUCCAGAUAUUUGGUCCUUAGCCACUGCUUUCUACUCCAACACUGUCCCUUGCUCAAAAAUCUUCAGUGCCCACUACUCAUGGGAUAAUAUCCAGACUCCUCAACUUGUUGUUCUAGACCUUGCAUUUUGUUAAAAAAAAAAAUAAUGUUUACUAUUUAUUUUUGAGACAGAGAGCACACAGAAUCUGAAGCAGCCUCCAGGCCUGAGCUGUCAGAACAGAGCCUGACACAGGGCUCAAACCCAUGAAACCUGAGAUCGUGAACUGAGCUGAAGUCAGAUGCUCAACCGACUGAACCACCCAGGCACCCCUUGACCUUGCAUUUCUGAUCUGAUCUUAGGUGUCUGAACUUUUCUCCCCCCUUCCCGUCUGUAAGCCUAUACUCUAGAUCCCACAUGGGCCCUCCACAUCCCACUCUCACACCCCCUGCCUUUGCUCACCUCAUUCUCCCACCUCCAUGAGCCCCCACCGUCCCUUCUGGACUGCCCUCUGCCCCACUCAGCUCCUCAAGGACCCAGUGACCAGGCUGCUCAGCCACUCAGAGACCUUUCCCACCUGCUUACUGGUUCCAGCCUGCAUGUCUCCUCUCCCUGCAGUGUGUCGGUUUCUGGAGCCAGCGCUUGUGUGGUCUUCAUUCGUCUUCGUCCCCAGCAUGGAGGUCAGAGCCCUGCACUUGUCAGGUUCUCAGGAAAUGUUUGUCACCUCAACUUUUGCUGCAUAGGCUGAGCUGGCUUCUUAACCCCCUCCCGGACUUGCAGCCUUGGCCCUAUGACCCCAGUGGGGGGCUUCUCCCGCAUGGAUCCCCCCAAGACUGAGCAGGCUCUGGGCAGGUGCCGAGAGAACUCUUUGGACCCUCCAGAUUUCCAUCCCGGGUCAUGUCGGGAACUAUACUUACGUGACUGUGCCCUGUGUUCAGUUUGGCUCAUGAGACAGGGAAGGUUCCCUCUUGAGACUUGACUUUUGCAGCCAAAUUCCCCUCAAUGUGUUUUCAAACCUAAGCAGAUGCCAGUUUUAAGAACUAAAGCAAGGUCGUCAGGGAAACAGGGCUUCCAGGAGUAACGGAAGUGCUGAGUCUUCUCUGUGCAAAUGAGAUCUGCAGUGCCGAUCAAGUCCCGGGGACUGGUGACGGUGGCCCUGCAGUCCCUGUCCCCGACUCUUCCCAAGCUCCCCUCUGCCGCAUUUCCAUGUCACCCAAUGCAGAGGCAGCAGAAGGACAACAGUGUGUGCUGAGGGGACACGUUUGCCCGGCUGUCAAACAGCUGUCACAUCCGCCCUUGGGAAUGGACCUUCUGGGAGCCCAAGCCGUCAUUCCUGCUGACGCCACACACGGACCAGCUUUGCUGGUUCAAAGGCCUUCAAUUCCCAGUCCCAGUUUCCUGCCACCUUGACUGACUCCGGUCACGAUGAAUGUGGAUCUACAUUUAUUUAAAAAAUAAACAAAUGACUUACCGUGUUUUGA